GAUAAACGCUGGCGGCGCACAUAAGACAUGCAAGUCGAACGGACCAAAACUUUAGUUUACUAUAGUAGAGGUUAGUGGCGGACUGGUGAGUAACACGUAAGCAAUCUGCCUAUCAGAGGGGAACAACAGUUAGAAAUGACUGCUAAUACCGCAUAUGCCUAAGUAACACAUGUUACAAUAGGGAAAGGAGCAAUCCGCUGAUAGAUGAGCUUGCGUCUGAUUAGAUAGUUGGUGGGGUAACGGCCUACCAAGUCGACGAUCAGUAGCCGGACUGAGAGGUUGAACGGCCACAUUGGGACUGAGAUACGGCCCAGACUCCUACGGGAGGCAGCAGUCGGGAAUAUUGCGCAAUGGAGGAAACUCUGACGCAGUGACGCCGCGUGCAGGAAGAAGGUUUUCGGAUUGUAAACUGCUUUAGACAGGGAAGAAACAAGACAGUACCUGUAGAAUAAGCUCCGGCUAACUACGUG
rnacentral:rRNA from 1 species